rnacentral:tRNA from 1 species
GAUCGCGUAGCUCAGUUGGAAGAGCAUUGGGCUAGUAUUCCAAAGGUCGUAGGUUCGAAUCCCACCGUGGCCA